rnacentral:ncRNA from 1 species
GAGAGCCGUAUGCGGGAAAACCGCACGUACGGUUCGAUGAGGGGACGGAGGGCUAACGCCCUCCUCCUACUCUAC